rnacentral:tRNA from 1 species
GCCCGGCUGGCUCAGUCAGUAGAGCGCGCGACUCUUGAUCUCAGAGUAGUGGGUUUGAGCCCCCUGUCGGGUA